rnacentral:rRNA from 1 species
UACGUAGGGGGCAAGCGUUGUCCGGAAUCAUUGGGCGUAAAGCGCGUGUAGGCGGCCCGAUAAGUCCGCUGUGAAAGUCCAGGGCUCAACCCUGGAAUGCCGGUGGAUACUGUCGGGCUCGAGUCCGGAAGAGGCGAGUGGAAUUCCGUGGUGUAGGCGGUGAAAUGCGCAGAUAUCAGGAGGAACACCGAUGGCGAAGGCAGCUCGCUGGGACGGUACCGACGCUGAGACGCGAAAGCGUGGGGAGCAAACAGG